rnacentral:rRNA from 1 species
CCUACGGGGUGCUGCAGUGGGGAAUAUUGCGCAAUGGGCGAAAGCCUGACGCAGCGACGCCGCGUGAGGGAUGAAGGUCUUCGGAUCGUAAACCUCUGUCAGCAGGGAAGGACGGUCACUGUGCUAAUCAGCAGUGAAUUGACGGUACCUGCAAAGGAAGCACCGGCUAACUCCGUGCCAGCAGCCGCGGUAAUACGUAGGGUGCGAGCGUUAAUCGGAAUUACUGGGCGUAAAGCGCUCGUAGGCGGUAGGUCAAGUCAAGGGUGAAAUCCCCGCGCUCAACGUGGGAACUGCCUUUGAAACUGGCAAACUGGAGUGUGUGAGAGGAUAGUGGAAUUCCAGGUGUAGGAGUGAAAUCCGUAGAUAUCUGGAGGAACAUCAGUGGCGAAGGCGACUAGCUGGAACAUAACUGACGCUGAGGAGCGAAAGCGUGGGUAGCAAACAGGAUUAGAUACCCCUGUAGUC